rnacentral:lncRNA from 11 species
UGGCCUCUGAGGGGUGUUAACAAAUUAAAUGCAGACUUUCUUACAAAGCAACUCUUUUCCACCCAUCUGAGCUAAAAGCAGAAAGCUGGCAGGACUGAAUUGUCAACAAUGGAAAACAUUUGCUCUGGCUGUUGUCUCUUAGUGGGCUAGUGGUCUCUCUGUGGAUUGCACUGUGAGGAUGGCGUAUCCGGGGAAAUCGCGCUUGCGGAGAUCUUUCAGUGAGCAUAUCAAGGUUUCUACCAACAAAGCUUGGGAUGUCUUUUGGAAGAGUGCACGAGAAAAGCGUCUAUCAGAAAUAUCAGGAUCUCAUACUUAUAUGAAUGAGAAACGGGCCAGAAAGUAAAUACAGAAGGUAAGAUGAAGGAAUCUGUCUCACCAGGACUGGUCUGAAUUGGCUGUAA